GCCUGUUCUUUGUGCUGCUUUACAGAGGAAAUGGAACAUACUUUGGUUUUUAUAUUAAAAGAGGGCAUGCAAAUAUUUUUUGACCCUUAAUAUUUUGUCUUAUAUAAGUACGUAUUAGCAUUAGCAUUUUUACAAACUAUACAAGAUACAGUGAGGAUUUUAGCCUUUGGUAAUAUUAUUAAUGUGUAAGCAUCAAUUUUAUGCAUUAGUUUAAUAUUACAAAAUAUAUCUUCAUAGAAUAUUACAAUAGUCUGCACUUUGAGAGAAACAUUACAAUUAAUGAACUUGUAGUAUUAAGAGUACUGAAAAGUGAAUGGAAAGGUGGUAGGUAAGUUUUGGGGUUUCCAUCUGGAUUUAUAUAUAUAGUGUACGUUCUGUCAUAGCAACAAUGAAGAAUGAAGUAUGAGAGAAAUCAUUCACUAUCCAUUGCAGGUACUUCUGAUGUCUUCCUCCUUCAGCAAAUUUGUCUUUUCAGGAUUUAAUUCAGAUAUUCUGCUUUCUGUAAGGUUUGUUCUUUUUGAAAAGAGUUUCUGUGAAGAAUAAAUCAUAAAGUCUCCCUCGUGACCUCCUGCCACAAAGUGUUACCUGUUUCCCGUUGCUGCACAGUGGCAGACCUGUUUCAGUUCCUUCACUGAUUCUGCACUUUCCACCCUCCUCCCCAAAACCCCCCCCAAAGCCGAACACGUGCAACUGAAGCAUCCUCCCUACAUCUCCUCUCUGAAAGCACCCUUUCCACCUUGCGUUCAGACACAGCCGCCAUCACUGCUUCCUAAGGAUCCCUCUGUAAAAUCCAGUAGGACUAAACUAAGCACCUGACAGUCUGUCCAUCCCACCUUCCCUGUUAGAACCGGCUCCCGUGUCCCUCAUUUCCCUGCUGCUGGGUGCUACGCCAGCCUGGGGCUGUCUUACUGAGACUGCUUUUCCCUUUAAAGACUCUACGUGUUUAUCUUUUGUUUGUUCUUCUAUCAAUUGUGAUUCAGCAUUCAGAAACACAUAGUAACUUUUACUAGAGUUCUUGCUUGAUUUGCUUAUGUUUACUUUUAUUUGGUUUAGUCUUAUUCUUUUAAGCCACGUCCUAACAGUAUCUUCAGUUUACUUUCUCAGGAAAGCACUAAAGAAUGUUCUUUCCAAAAUGUAAUAGUUAUUACUGAUAGUUCUCAAUCCAGAAACUUUUAACGAGAGUACUUUUACAAAGAAACUGGGCUUUUAAUUCCUUCUUUUGCUGACCCCAUUUGUCAGGCCAGAUUAUAACCAUAACUAACCCGUAUGAAAGAAACGUGGAGAAAGUCCCAGAGGAUCUUAUGAUCGGGUAUUUAUAGUCAGCUAUUAAUGGACGUAGGCUCUACUGAGAUCAUUUUCAAUCCUGAAAAGAUCAGUUUCAAUUUAAUAAUCACUUGUUCAAAGUGUGAGGUCUUCCCUCCUUCGCAAGGUGAGGAAAACUGUGUAUUUUCUCAAUUCAUAGGAAAAUUGGUAUGGUUUUUUUUGAAAAAAUAGUCUAGAUUUAAAAUGUUUCUGUACUCAUUGUACUAUAGCUAUAACUGAAUACUAACAGUUAUUUGUCUGCAUAGUAGUAUGUUUCUGGUUUUUGCUGCAUGUACAAAUACAGACGAGGCCUUGCAGUCACACGUUGGGUGGAUCAGGUAACUCGUUAGAUGGUGCAGCUUUGCUGUGGAUUGCUGCUGCUCAACUUUAGGUUGUUUCUAGAAUUAUUCCAGACUUUUCAGUGACAUGCUGACAACUUCUUCCAUUUUUCUGUGCUCAUUCAUUUUGCUAAUUUAUUUAUUUGCUUUGAGUUUUCCUCACUCAUUUUGUUUUACUUUGCUCUGUAUUUUUGGUUUUUCUUUUCAGGGCAACUCUCCUGAAAGACAAAAGUGGAGGUUUUAAUAAGAUUUAACCUGAAGAUUUAACAUCUGCUUCCAAUCAAAAGCAGCAUUUCCCUACAAAAAGUGACCUCGGUUGUGCUGCUUUGCCAUGUAUAGUUCUACGUAUAUGCUUGAUGAUCGGUCCGAUGAUGAAAUCCCCACCCAACGAGCUAUUGAGGAGAGCUUGCAAGACAGGCAGAAAAUGGAAACAAGUAGCAGUGCAACAGAGGAUGGAAGUUUCCAGUGCAUUGCAAGUAAAGAGCGUGGAAAGAUAAUGGCAGCAAUUCGGACAGGCCAAGAAGAGGCCUUGACAAAGCUGGUGGGGCACAGCUCUGCUUUUGAAGAAGCCGAUGCGCAGGGCUGGCUUCCCCUGCAUGAAGCCGCAGCACAGCCAAAUAAGAACAUCCUUGCAAUAACUCUGAAAGCCUCCUGCGCCAGCACCUGGGAACAGACCACUCUGAAAGGGGAGACGCCUCUCCUGGUGGCAGUAAGAAAUUGCUUUGUAGACAAUGUCCGCCUUCUCCUGCUCAAUGGCUGCAACCCCAACGUUAAGAAUGAAGAGGGAGACUCUCCUUUGGUUAUAGCAAUUAGACAUGAUUCGUAUCAGAUUGCCUCCUUGUUGAUAAAUUCUGGCGCCAAAGUGAAUCUGCGGUGUGUCCACGAGAGGACUGCUCUGCACGAGGCCGCCAGGCUGGGCAGGAAGGACCUGGUGAUGCUGCUGCUCCGUUCCGGAGCUGACCCGGACCCUCGCAGCGGGUACGGGCUCACGCCCCUGGCACUGGCUGCGCAGAUCGGACACACGGAAAUUAUGGAGCUCUUAUUGCAAAGAGGUGCGGAUGUUCUUAACCAGGCAAGGGAUUGCGCUUCUGUGCUGUUUGAAGCAGCAGGAGGGGGAAAUCCAGAUUCCCUGAGUCUCUUGCUAGAAUAUGGAGCUGAUGCCAAUGUACCAAAGCACUCGGGUCAUUUGCCAAUCCACAGAGCUGCAUAUAGAGGACACUUUCUAGCCCUAAAAAAUUUAGUUCCAGUUACUGAUUUUGAUGCCAUUAAAGAAAGCGGGAUAAGUCCAGUUCACUCAGCAGCAGCAGGAGCACAUCCUCAGUGCCUUGAGUUUCUCCUCAAAUCUGGGUUUGAUGCCAAUUUUAUGCUGGAUCAAAGAGUUCGCAAAGGCUACGAUGACCACCGCAAAUCGGCCUUGUACUUCGCGGUGUCCAACGGGGACGUCUGCUCGGCGCAGUUGCUGCUGGACGCCGGAGCCCUGCCGAACCAGGAUCCCAUCAACUGCCUGCAAAUAGCCUUGAGAAUGGGCAACUAUGAGUUAAUGAAUCUGCUGCUCCGACACGGCGCUAACGUCAAUUACUUCUGCCGGGUGAAUACAACACACUUCCCAUCAGCUCUGCAGUACGCGCUGAAGGAUGAAGUCAUGCUGAGGAUGCUGAUGAACUACGGGUACGAUGUGCAACGCUGCUUCGACUGCCCGCGUGGAAACAGUUCACAUGCCCAGUACGUGACUGAUGGCUGGACUUCUACCGUCAUCAAGGAUACAAUGUUCUGUGAAGUGAUAACCUUGUCAUGGUUGAAGCAUCUGUCGGGGAAAGUCGUGCGAGUGAUGUUAGAUUAUGUCGAUCACGUCAACAUCUGCGGGAAGCUGGAAGCAGUUCUCAAAGAACAGGAACUCUGGCCAGACAUCAAUUCCAUUUUAACAAAUCCUCGGUCUCUGAAGCAUCUUUGUCGUCUGAAGAUACGGGACUGCAUGGGCCGGCUGCGUCUGCGUUGUCCUGUCUUCAUGACCUUCCUCCCGCUGCCCAACUGCCUGAAGGACUACAUCCUGUACAAGGAGUACGAUCUGUACGGGCAGGAGAGCUUCACGGGCACCUACAGCCUCAACUGUACAUAGUUAUUAGUUCUGUAGAUGGAAGGGAACAUUGACGUGGAUGAGACUGUCUUAUGCGGCUGCUUUUUAGUUUUGGGAUUUGAUCUCCUAUGUAUAUUAAGGAAUACCAGCAUUGCCCCCUGAAGAAAAUGGGGAGAACUCCAAAAUGAGCUGGACACGUUAAGAAAAAAUCUCAGUAUGAAUUCAUACCACAAACCAGACGUACGACGCAACCAACAAAACUCUCUUAGCUGGAGAUGUGGAUUACAAAGGAUGCUAAACAGCGCUCAAAAAGUAACAGCAAUGUAAGAACACUUACUUUUUACCGUCAAAAGAUGUGAUCUGAAAGCAGUACCGUCUGUCUUCACAGUCCACAGCCAUGACCGAGCAGUUGUCGAUGUCCAUGACCAGCCCCCCGGCCACAUCCCCUCUCGCCUGGCUCAUCAAGUUCCCACCUUGGGUGAAGUAAAACUGUCUGUCCCAGCUGGACGAAACCAGCCCUGUCUUACUAAAAAGUAAAAAGAAGUUGGUAAUGAGUAGCUCAGGAGUCCAUCUGGGCUGUACAAAUUAGAAAAACAGGAAAACCACUGGGAACAAAGCACCCGGGCCCCAAGGAAAACCUUUUUGCUCGUUCAAUGUUUCGGGUUAGCUUUACAGCUGAAGUUGCUUUCUACAUCAUGUGAAACUUAAUUUAGAAUAAAGAAGCAAAGCACUUCAGUUUUGAUGAUAAACUUUUACAGUAUUGCUUUAUACAACAUGCAUAUGCUAAUUAUACACAUUAUCAACAUAAGUGUGGAGUUUAGAGGUCUUAUCAGUUACAUUAUUAAGUUUUGAAGAACUCUGUGCUAAGCCUUAGCUCAGUCACGUAAGAUAACUCAACUUUUCAAGACCUUUGUACCAUUUAACAAGAUUUCAAAACUUUUCCUUAGAACACGGUGGGGUUUUGGUGGGGUUUUUCUUUUUUCUCCUGGAUUUGCAGAAAAGGAACGAUCUGAAACUCCCAAUCAGUAAGGCAGUUUAGCCUCCCUUUUUGUUCAGAUACUCUUGUCAGUAUUAACUGCUGUACUUGCACUCUGCUACAGAAAUUCACCCCUCAUUCAGUGAGUAUGUUACUCCAACUGUUGCUGCAAAAGUAACUGCAUGUUUUGAAAAAAUUCCUUGGAGCUUAUUAUAUAAAUUACAGGGGGAAAAAAGGAGUGUUACAAGUUAUUUUAACUAUAAAAAUGAGCUGCUAGACUUUACUAACUGUAGGAAGAGCUCCCUGCGGUGGGUGAAGCCGCCUCAUGAGGCAGAGAGGGCUGUUCCAAGGGUAUUCCCUCAACAGAGAAUGUUUUGCCUUGUAUAUCUCAAGCUUUUUAUUUGUAACUUGGAUCCCAAAGCUUUAACAGACACAUAAUAAUUCCAAUAGCUGCAAUCCUGUUGUUUUCCAAUUACAGUGAAAUUACACUCUCCUGAGCUUCAGUUUUUCUUUUCAGUGUGAAACAUCAGGCAAGAUUAGACGAAAAUCAGGAUAACUUUGUUUUGCACCUGAAUCACACUAUGUCAGUGUAACAAUUAAAUCCAUAGUAAUUGAGUGAAGGAGUCUGAAGAAACAGAGUAACUCCCGUGCGACUGACUGACUCCACUACGGAAAAGGAGCGUAGCUACUUCAAAAUAACCACUGCAUACUUUUGUAGCUUUCCUUUCCCACAAUUAAAUAUGCCAGAGUUUGUAGAUACCAAGUUAUUCUUACUUUCUUGCAUUGAGAUAGCCAGCUUUCCGAGUUAGAUUCCUAUGAACAGGAAAUUUCGUAGUGUCAGGGUCAGGCAGAUAGAGUGGGUCACUGGCUACUUCCAAGUCCUCUAUAGUUUGUUGCAUGUUUUCUACUUCGCACUCCAUUUCCCGGCGAACGCUGAGGGAAAGAAGGUGUUAUGAGCAAAGAUAACCUAUUAAUAAGUACAAAAAGAAAAAAUACUUGUCUUUAUAAUAGUUCAGAAUUUAACAAAAGCAACUCACUUCUGUACACUUGUGCCAAUAUUGGUCAAAAAUUCUUCCAAUUGCUCCGUAAGAUUUUCUGAACCCAUUUUAAAAAAACUUAUCUAUAAAAGAACAAGAGGAGGAAAAGGGAGAAUUUAGUAAUUAACAGAACUACAUUAACAACAGAUAAUACCAUAGGAGGUUAAAGUUUCUCAGAGAGAUCUGUUUUCAAGCCUCAUUCCCACUAAAGCCCCUCAAGAAAGCGCCUGUUUUGUCUGCAAGCGACGGCGGACGCUGACAGCGCAGCGGGGUUUCUGUCAGGAGGACGCGCACAGACCCACCUCAGGAAACAGAAAUGUAGAGAAACCGCCCUGGAAAUGAAGCAAGGUUGGAAACACCGUCUCGCUGUGGUUUUUCAAGCCCCCCAGUCUGCUCCCGGCACUCACAUCGGUCCAGAAAACCCGUCAGGUCUGCGCUGGGCUCAGCCCCAGGACACCUGGAGCAGGAACCGCAGGCCCGGCCGCCGCACGCUCAGCAAAGCCCGCGCUGAGCAACAGGCUGCUCUGGGGACUCGCUUACACAAAACAGCCACAGCGCGGCUUCGAGAGCAAGAGCUCCUCUCGGCUUGGAAAGCUUUCCGGCAGCACGUAGAGGUUAAUUUCUCCUCAGGACACUGUGGCGGUGCUGGACACCGGAAAGUCUGGCUUUUGCCUUUUUAAAAACCCCACACUUAUGACAUACUUCUGAAAAUAUAAAUUGAGACCCUCCAAAUAACUUUUCCAUAGUUGUCUUUUCUAUUGCAUCCAUCCUCAAAUAAACCAAUCGUGAAUUCACUCGAACAAAACCACAGCUUUUAGUACAUCAACCUUCAUGAAGUGCUUUUGCUUUCACCCCUGCAGCUUCCAGACUGCGGCAUUACCUGAGCCUGCAUGUAUCCCAGCAAGGGCUCCAGCAGAGCAAUUUUCUUUUUGUACUGGAGAGUAUUUAAUGCACAGAAAUAAUGCAUCAUAGUCUGAUGCUGUUUCUUCCUUGAAGUAUAUACAUCUUCUAUGACUUCAGCCUUGAUCUGAAGAGACAGACACGGGGAGGGGGAAGAGGAAGGUUUGACACUUGGUAUUCCGGACAGCUUUACAGCAGCACGCAAAACCAACACAGCAACGUCCCACCUUCUGCCAGCAGCUACUGCACGUUCACCCUCCAGUUCUGCUUCUCUAACUUACACACGAGAGACACGAGAAACAAAUACAGCAUUCUUUUCUCCCUGGAAAGUGUGGUUAUUUCUUUACAAAUAUAAAUUAAAUAUGGUAUCACAAGAGCAUUUUCAGUGUUAUAAGACAGACAUGUAUUGGGAAAACCUUUUCUGUUUGGAAGCAAACUGUCUAGACUGCUAAAACAAACUAUGGACCUCCAGGUCCAGUCUGCCAUACAUUGCCUUCCAUCAUAGAUACAUGUGCGAGAAGAAAAUUAUUUCUUAUCUCCUCUAAAAAUCUUUAUACUAAAUAUUUUGGUUUACAAACCUUUUCAUUUUCCCUUCUUUUUGACAAUCGACCGUAUCUGGUAAUGGCAGCAUCAUGGUCUAAGCGAGAGAGAAUUUAUUAUCAUUUUGAUAAAUUAAGGACUUAGGAAGCAGAGCAGAAAACCUCUUCUACCACCGUGUGUUGCGCAGCCAGCGAAUGCAAAGUUCUGUCACAUUAAACCCUUUCAAGAAUUGUUCUUGCCUGUUUAUAAUGACUUCACUGCCACAAAUAUUAUACUUGGGUGGAAGGAAAAGUCUAACCAGGUGCAAAUAUGGCCAAAUUGUCACAAAUUUCCCUAAAGAUCUAAUAUUCUUCGAUGACAAAAACGUUCCGUAAGCAGAGACAACUUUCCAUUACGAAAACCUGUAUCUAAUAUUUUUUACUUCUAAAGCAACUAAGCAAUUUUCAUUAAGAGGGCAGAACCUUUACUUAAAGAACAUGUUCUCUAUGAGAAUAUACUAGAGCUGGCUAAAGAAUGUCGCUUCUCACAACAGAGAACAGAACUAUCAAACUACUUUUAGGGAGGGAAAAUUCAUUUAUUACUUUGGUCCUGCCUUUAAAAGUGAGCUAGCACCUUACUUCAGUAAUUUUGGUAGCAUAACAAUAACUUAUUUAAGAAUUAUAUACACAUUUUAAGUAUUGUAAAAAAGAUUAAUACUGUUGAUUUGCUUUACCACUUUGGUACACAAAGCAAGGGUUUACAGGUGAACCAAGGAAAGCUGGCUGCCUAAGCAUCACUGACACAAUUACAGCGUAAUUACUCACUUUAAGCCUUGCUAUCUUCACUAGUUUUCACACUAAGUGAUCUACAAUAACACUGUUGUCUUGCAAUAUCUAUAACAUUAAGUAUUUUACACUUACCAUUGCUUGCAAUUUGGAAAACUUCUUUUAGAGUUAAUAUCUCUACAAAACAACAUAUCACAAUUUAAAUGAGUUGUUAUUAACGUAACAUUGGUAUAUUAAGGCUUCUCAUGCAGCGUUUCAGUACUGAGCAGCUGUGGUCGGAGUUAGCAGCACGGGCACUACGUGGCUUGGAACGCCUGCUCUGCCGUAGCGCCUGCGGAUCAGCUGGGGGCUGCCUGGCUUACCAAAAAAGACAUUUCACUGUAAUAACUUAAAGAGGAACUUCUUUUCACACUACUUGGAAAGACAUCAUCGAUGCAAAUGCAUCAGCUGCAGCUCUGGUCUGAGCUGGGGAGGCAGAAGCACAGGAGAUGGGGCAGCGUGGCUGGGUGAACGCAAAGCCCCAAACACGCUGUGAUUCCUCCUACCCCAAAUCAGUCACAGUCUAGAUGGUUAUUAAUUCUUACUGUGCCAGGGGACGGGAAACUGUGCAAUACUCAGCACUUGUUCUGAUCUCAGCUGUGGUUUGGUUUCGUAUUGCGGCCUAAAGUGACAGAGAGCUGUGUUCGACUUUAUGGUGAAACAAAGACAAAAAGGCAUGGAAAAGCUUUACGGAAAGCGCCUACGAAGCCUGUGAAGAGGUUCGGUGUCAUUAAAUACCACAGCAGCUGGUGGUUAAAAACUGCCACGGGGAACAUUUCAUUCCGAUUAUUGCCUCAGAGAUGUUUCUUCAGUAAAUAUUAACAGGGGAUUUUUCCAGGUUCUGAGGGGUAACAUCAGCCUUGAGACACUCACAUUCCCUUGCCAGAAAGCAGAACCCAUUUAAUCCAGAACCCCACAACAAACUAUUGCCAAACAAGUAUAUUCCGAGAUUCAUAAAGAGCUAGAAGACUUAUGCAACUCUUGUCACUUUUAUUUCAACUUAGACUUUCAUACAUUAGGUUUACCCGCUUCAGGCUGUUCACAUUAGGGAUUUCAGUUAUUUUGGUUUUAAAUCUUAUUGUUUGUAUUUGAAGCCCAUUUGCCACACUUUAGCAUCUCAAGUAAAAUCUCUCAUAAUCAGACUCACUAUUAUUUCAGACCAGGCAGAAAAAGAUAGAACUGUUGCCAAAAUAAGAAGUUGGAAGCACAGAAGAGGCCACCGGGCCUACAGCAGGGUUCAAGAACCACCUUAGCAAACCUGAAUAAUAUAGUAAGUACAACUUUGGUACUUUGCCUUUUGAGUUCAGUCCAGCCAUUAUAUUGAUGUCAUAAUAUUAAAAUCUAUACAACUAUUUCUGGAACACGCAAAUUAUCUGAAAAUUAUUCUUUCUUAAUGUUUACAGUAACUGCAAAACUUUCAUCUUGAAUAGACGAUAAGUGCUUCCAUAAUACAAACAGUAUCUUUGUUGAAACGGUAACAGUGGUAAGUUCUUCAACUGUAAUACUCUCAUGAAAAGAAAUAACUUACAUUUUUUUAAAUUGGGAGAUGCAUACUUUGAGAGCUGAAAAAUAAGUGGCGUAUUCUAUUUAGUGAAACAAGAGCUAUGGAGAGUGAAUGCUACGUUUUUGUCAUUGCUGUUAUUGAUAAACCAGUAUUUGUUCGAGUACUACCUUUGAGAUCCCUUUCUUUAAACUGGGUAAUAGGGAACAUCAUUGCAUCCGCAAGCUGAGUUGAAAGAACCGCAUGGCAAGAGCUGAGCUGUGAAAGAAGGAAAAGAAGGACAUUUUAGGAAACAAGUGCCGAGACUAAAUCAAAUCAAGACAGCAAAGAGGUUCCAGCAGCAGAGCUACAGAUAGGAAACCCUCUUAGAACGGGCUCCCUGCGGGGAAAGCUGUGGAUUCCACAAUCUGGGCUGUCAGAGAUGGAAUUACUCUCCCACUAAGAGCAAAUUAUGGUUGUUAAAUGGAGACUGCUACGCAAUCUCUUCUCUUUGUGACUAGUAAAACUAAAGCACUUAACAGCAAACAGGUUUAUAAAACAAAAACUGACGACCACCACCACCCUAAGCAGCCCCCAAACCACGGAUCCAGAAGUAAAAUAUUUCAGAACUUACUAAUAUUCAUUUGGUUUUACUUGGAAGAACUAUAUGAAGACAGUAGAUUCUUUUGGCAAAGAUUUGAGCCACCAACUACAGCAGUUCAUUUUAUCUGGGCCAAACCUCCAUCCAUUCUACCCUGUGCUCUGAUAAAGGACAAGAACACUUAGUGCUGACCACACAAAACCAACAGUGACUUACGCAGUACCUGUUUCUCAUAUUCCUUCAGCAGCUUUGAAGUCAGAUGAGUCGCUGCACUUAAUUCAUUCUGAUUAAAAAACAAACAAACAACCCCCCCAAGCUUGUUACAUUUUAAUUUAAAUUAAUAUUUUAAAAAAUCACAUUAUUUGAAGAGGAAACUCUGACAGACACGGAACUUCAAACCUGAGUACAGAUUUUCAGAAAGGAAUGACACCUGCUGCACCAGAGGAUCUGACAGUGUCCCAGCUCAGGCUCAGCCCAGCUGCCGGGAAAACCUGAACACGUCAGAACAGAAAGGACCAAGGGAGACUGGAACUGCGGCCAACUACUGGAUCCACUCUGGUACAUCCUAAGGACAAGGGUAGAGAUGACAGGUGUCAAAUACCAUGCCAGGUGUCCGCAUUGCUGCUGCAGUGAGAUCAACCCCAGGCUGUGGCUCUGGACGCUGGCGGUGCUGCAGGAGCACAGCGCUGGCUGUGCUUGGGAUUCACCUCAGCAAUGACCCGCCAUUCUGUCAUCAAAAGGCUGAGAACUAAAGGCCAAGCAAACCGGAAGAGCGGUACAAAGCACUUGCUGUUGUUGCUGCCAGCCAGAGAAAUCAGUGCAACUGAAUAAAGCAUUUCCUGCUUAAUAGCAGCAUGAGAGAAAUGUCACCGCAGUACAUGGGUCACUGACACCGGUCAAGCAGCAGAAAUGCGACUGAAGACACCGGAUGAAUUAAAGGCCCUUCAGCACCACGCGUGUCCCACCCACUCACGGCACCAUCACCAGGAGAACCUCACCCAACCACCGCUUUCCACACGGAUCUAUUAAACCUUCAAGCGUUUUUGGUAAAAGACAAAGAUAAGAACAAAAUCAUCUUGAGAAAUGGAGACGGGUUUUGCCAACACGAGGUCUCCAAAACAAAUCACGAACGUAAACGUGGGGGCGGAGAACACGGGAGGCACCGCUGCGAACCCUCCCGAGCCCGGGGCUGCACCCCCGGCUCCUCGGCCCGGGACACGGGGCGACGACAGCGGGACCGGGGCGCCGCUCGCCGGGGCCCGGCCCGAGCGGACAGCGGAGCCGCCACCCCCGGCGACCAGGAGCACAGGAAGGCACCGGCCACGCCCGCCGGGCCCUGCCCUGUCCCGUCCUGUCCCCCGCCCUCCCGGCCGCCAACGAAGACGCUCCGUCUCCCCAAGGGAACGCGGGGGGGAUCGAGCGGGGAGCAGCGCUGGGCCCGGCGCUCACGCCUGGGCCCGAUCCGGCCUCCCUCACCUGCGGGCUGUCCUCCAGCGUCUCCUCGAUGGGCAGCUUGUCGAUGCCGGGCAUGGCGGCGGCCGGGCGGACUGUGCGCCGCUGCAGCUCCGCAGCCCUCAGCGGAGCGACCCGCCCCUUCUCCCCGGCCACAACACAGCCUCCCCCGCCCCGCUCCGCGCCGGAUGUCCCACCCUCCCCGCUUGGCCUUUCCAUUGGUUCUUCCACCCGGCCUGUCCCGCUUGUUAUUGGGGCCUUAAAAAUGUGUGGAACUAACACCUGGCGCCAUGUAAACAGGCAGAAGAGCAACCAGUGGCUCUCUAGAGAAUUCCAGAUGCAUCCCCUAAUGGAGAGAAUAUUCUGCCUCUGCAGGAGGGUGAAAGUAGCUAUUUGGAUAAG